rnacentral:rRNA from 1 species
AAUCAACGCUGGCGGCGUGCCUCAGACAUGCAAGUCGAACGCGAAACCUUCCUUCGGGAGGGGAGUAGAGUGGCGCACGGGUGAGUAACACGUAGGUAAUCUACCUUUGGGUGGGGAAUAACAGCCGGAAACGGCUGCUAAUACCGCAUAAUGCAGCGGCUCGACAUCGAGACAGUUGUUAAAGCGGGGGAUCGUAAGACCUCGCGCCUAAAGAGGAGCCUGCGGCAGAUUAGCUAGUUGGUAAGGUAACGGCUUACCAAGGCGACGAUCUGUAGCCGGCCUGAGAGGGCGGUCGGCCACACUGACACUGACAUACGGGUCAGACUCCUACGGGAGGCAGCAGUCGGGAAUUUUGGGCAAUGGGCGAAAGCCUGACCCAGCAACGCCGCGUGAAGGAUGAAAUCCCUCGGGAUGUAAACUUCGCAAGAACGGGAAGAAUAAGUAGAAGCGAAUACUUCUAUGAUGACGGUACCGUUUGUAAGCUCCGGCUAACUCCGUGCCAGCAGCC